rnacentral:RNase_P_RNA from 1 species
AAAGAAGAUAAAAUGUCUGCCUGUUACCCUGGGGUGACAGGAGGAAAGUCCGAACACCAAAGGGCAGGAUACUUCCUAACGGGAAGUUCUGGCAACAGAAAGCUAGCUCCACAGAAACAAACCGCUUCGGAUUUAUUCCGGAGUAAGGGUGAAAUGGUGGUGUAAGAGACCACCAGAUACCGGUGUGAACCGGUAUGCUCGGAAAGCCUUAUCCGGUGCAAUGCCAAAUAGGAGGGAAGAACUGCCCGUUCGAUUAUCCCUCGGGUGGGCAGCUAAAAUCGGUUCGGCUAACGAAUCUCCGUAGAGAAUAGCAAUAUCCGAUUUAGAGAAAUAGACAUUGAAUUACCUGUUAGGUAAUUUACAGAAUUCGGCUUAAUAUCUUCUUUGACA